AUUGGAUUGUAUAAUCAUAUCAAAAAUAUUAGUUAUGCAUCCAUGUAUCAGGCCUGGCUCUGAUACCAGUUGAAGAAAAAUUUUUCGAUCUAAUCGGAUCGCCAAGGUGUGUUUUGAAGAUUUUUCUAUCCUAAUGGUAAUAUAAUAUUUAUAUUUACCUUGAUUGUAGUAGAAUAGGGAUCAAAUAUUAAAGAUUUCUUUCUUAAAUCCAAAGCCUCAUG
rnacentral:lncRNA from 1 species